rnacentral:rRNA from 1 species
UACAGAGGGGGCGAGCGUUGUUCGGAAUUACUGGGCGUAAAGAGCGCGUAGGCGGCCAGCACAAGUCAGUUGUGAAAUCUCCGAGCUUAACUCGGAACGGUCAACUGAUACUGUGCGGCUAGAGUGCGGAAGGGGCAACUGGAAUUCUUGGUGUAGCGGUGAAAUGCGUAGAUAUCAAGAGGAACACCUGCGGCGAAGGCGGGUUGCUGGGCCGACACUGACGCUGAGGCGCGAAAGCCAGGGGAGCGAACGGG